CGGUGGAUGCCCUGGCAGUCAGAGGCGAUGAAGGACGUGCUAAUCUGCGAUAAGCGUCGGUAAGGUGAUAUGAACCGUUAUAACCGGCGAUUUCCGAAUGGGGAAACCCAGUGUGUUUCGACACACUAUCAUUAACUGAAUCCAUAGGUUAAUGAGGCGAACCGGGGGAACUGAAACAUCUAAGUACCCCGAGGAAAAGAAAUCAACCGAGAUUCCCCCAGUAGCGGCGAGCGAAC
rnacentral:rRNA from 1 species